AUCACUUCUCGGCCUUUUGGCUAAGAUCAAGUGUAAAAAAAAUACUUUAUUUUUUUUUAAGUUUAUUUAUUUAUUUUGAGAGAGACAGCAUAAAUGGAGGAGGGGCAGAGAACGUGGGAGAAUCCUAACCAGGCUUGGUGCUGUCAGUGCAGAGCCUGAUGCAGGGCUUGAAGCCUCAGGAUCUUGAGAUCAUGA